UACGUAGGGCGCAAGCGUUGUCCGGAAUUAUUGGGCGUAAAGAGCUCGUAGGUGGCUUGUCGCGUCUGCCGUGAAAGACUCGGGCUUAACUCGGGUUCUGCGGUGGAUACGGGCUGGCUAGAGGUAGGUAGGGGAGAACGGAAUUCCUGGUGUAGCGGUGAAAUGCGCAGAUAUCAGGAGGAACACCGGUGGCGAAGGCGGUUCUCUGGGCCUUACCUGACGCUGAGGAGCGAAAGCGUGGGGAGCGAAC
rnacentral:rRNA from 1 species